rnacentral:rRNA from 1 species
UACGUAGGGUGCGAGCGUUGUCCGGAAUUAUUGGGCGUAAAGAGCUUGUAGGCGGUUGUCGUCGUCUGCUGUGAAAAUUCGGGGCUCAACCCCGAACUUGCAGUGGGUACGGGGCAGACUAGAGUGUGGUAGGGGGGGACUGGAAUUCCUGGUGUAGCGGUGAAAUGCGCAGAUAUCAGGAGGAACACCGAUGGCGAAGGCAGGUCUCUGGGCCAUAACUGACGCUGAGAAGCGAAAGCAUGGGGAGCGAACAGG